CCUACGGGGGGCAGCAGUGGGGAAUAUUGCACAAUGGGGGAAACCCUGAUGCAGCGACGCCGCGUGAGUGAAGAAGUAUUUCGGUACGUAAAGCUCUAUCAGCAGGGAAGAAAAUGACGGUACCUGACUAAGAAGCCCCGGCUAACUACGUGCCAGCAGCCGCGGUAAUACGUAGGGGGCAAGCGUUAUCCGGAUUUACUGGGUGUAAAGGGAGCGUAGACGGCAGCGCAAGUCUGGAGUGAAAUCCCAUGGCUUAACCAUGGAACUGCUUUGGAAACUGUGCAGCUAGAGUGCAGGAGAGGUAAGCGGAAUUCCUAGUGUAGCGGUGAAAUGCGUAGAUAUUAGGAGGAACACCAGUGGCGAAGGCGGCUUACUGGACUGUAACUGACGUUGAGGCUCGAAAGCGUGGGGAGCAAACAGGAUUAGAUACCCUUGUAUC
rnacentral:rRNA from 1 species